rnacentral:rRNA from 1 species
GACGAACCGUGCGAACGUUGUUCGGAAUCACUGGGCUUAAAGGGCGCGUAGGCGGCCUGGCAAGUGGAUGGUGAAAUCCCUCGGCUUAACCGAGGAACUGCCAUCCAGACUGCUUGGCUUGAGACCGGGAGAGGUGAGUGGAAUUCCCAGUGUAGCGGUGAAAUGCGUAGAUAUUGGGAGGAACACCAGUGGCGAAGGCGGCUCACUGGACCGGUACUGACGCUGAGGCGCGAAAGCGUGGGGAGCAAACGGG